CAGUCUCACACCACCAAUAUAAAAUCGGAACUAUACAGAGAAGACUAGCAUGGCCCUGCUGCGCAACACGUACAAAUUGAAAAAUGGUUCAUUUUUUU